rnacentral:rRNA from 1 species
AACGAACGCUGGCGGCGUGGAUAAGACAUGCAAGUCGAACGGGAUUUUCCGUUGGAGCAAUACGAUGGAAAGUCUAGUGGCGAACGGGUGCUUAACACGUGGGCAACCUGCCAGGAAGUGGGGGAUAGCUCGCCGAAAGGCGAAUUAAUACCGCAUGUGAUUAGAGAGGACAUCCUUUCAAAAUUAAAGUCGGGGCAACCUGACGCUUCUUGUGGGGCCCGCGGCCUAUCAGCUAGUUGGUGAGGUAACGGCUCACCAAGGCUUUGACGGGUAGCUGGUCUGAGAGGACGACCAGCCACACUGGGACUGAGACACGGCCCAGACACCUACGGGUGGCAGCAGUCGAGAAUUUUUGACAAUGGGGGAAACCCUGAUCGAGCGACGCCGCGUGGAGGAUGAAGGUCUUCGGAUUGUAAACUCCUGUCAUUGGGGAACAAGGUGCAUACGUUAACUGCGUGUGUAUUGAUAGUACCCGAAGAGGAAGAGACGGCUAACUCUGUGCCAGCCGCCGCCGUAA